GAGUUUCAUCCACAUUCACUCAGUUUAUGUCCCCUCUUCACAGUAAAUCUUGAAAUAAAAGUUAAAACACGAACGUGUGCUAGGAAUUUUUCUGGAAGCUCAGCAGCUGGAAUAUAACCACUGAGAUUUUAGAGGAUUUAUUAAUUAGAAUCUAUGAAGACAAGAUUAGAAAAAAACCCCCAAAUUAAACAUUAUCAUGUUACAGAUCAACUCCGAUGUUGUCAGUGCAGAAGAGCCAGCAGUGGAGGUGGCUUUCUGUAACACCAGUAUCCCCCACAGCUGGAGUCUGGACAAAAACAUUUCCGUCAUUCUGGAACACAUAUGGAGAGAGAUCAAAGAGAUAUAUGUGCUACUAGGCUUUUUUUUUUUCUUCACAGUUACCUGGAUUCAUGACAUUUAUUCUAAGCACAGCUGUUACUGUCUUUCAGCUGUAAAAAAAAAAAAAAAUACAGAGGAAAAAAAUCC